CUUACUGCAGCAGAAAAGAAGUCAUAGUCACAUUGAAAUCUGGGAAAUUAAUUUGUUUGGAUCCUGAGGCUGAAUGGGUGAUGACAAUUAUCAAAAAGAUUAUGGACAGGGCCCCUAACUGAUGGCCACACAAGGAACAUCACAUCCUAUGGGUGACAAGAGCCCUUGGUGCCACCGUGAACUUGGACAUCGUCCAGAGUUUUCUUUGAAGGUGGCACCAUUUUUAUGCUAAUAGAGGACUAGAAUGAACUGCUUUCUCUACUCAUAGUUUUCAGGCAGGUAAUUGGCUACCUGAGAGAGGAGUAAUGGCAGGUGGAGCAAUCACAUUUCCAUCAUGUAGGAAGGAUAAUCCCUAAAGCUCAUAAGGCAGGUGAGGGUUUCCCUGUAGGCUCAAAAUAUCUCACCAGAGUCCAUCCCCUCCAUAGCUGUCCCCUACCACUCUUUGC